rnacentral:rRNA from 1 species
UCCAGACUCCUACGGGAGGCAGCAGUGAGGAAUAUUGGUCAAUGGCCGCAGGGCUGAACCAGCCAAGUCGCGUGAGGGAUGACGGUCCUAUGGAUUGUAAACCUCUUUUGUCAGGGAGCAAAGGGCGCCACGUGUGGCGUUUUGCGAGUACCUGAAGAAAAAGCAUCGGCUAACUCCGUGCCAGCAGCCGCGGUAAUACGGAGGAUGCGAGCGUUAUCCGGAUUUAUUGGGUUUAAAGGGUGCGCAGGCGGGGGAUCAAGUCAGCGGUAAAAUGUCGGGGCUCAACCCCGGCCGGCCGUUGAAACUGGUUUUCUAGAGUUGGAGAGAAGUAUGCGGAAUUCGUGGUGUAGCGGUGAAAUGCAUAGAUAUCACGAAGAACUCCGAUUGCGAAGGCAGCAUACCGGCGCCAUACUGACGCUGAGGCACGAAAGCGUGGGGAUCGAACAGGAUUAGAUACCCCCGUAGG